GGGACCUUCAGGGGCUAAAACCAGGAACAGCCUGGGGGUGAGUAGUGGGACAGCACAGAACCCACCCUCUUGCUUGACUGUCUCUGCCUUUUCUCCUCCACCUGUCCUGCUUCUGGGCCUGGCCAGUGUUGGGGAAAGAGGAAUUGCAUAAGGGGAGGAUGUGGCCCCCACUCACCCCUCUGACCACUCCCGUCUGAUGAGAAAGUCCCAGGCACUGAUCUUAGAAAGUUCCAAGGCAAGGGCACAGGUACCGAUUAAUGAAUCAACAAACUCAGUGAGCACCCUCCCAUCUCCGGGCCUUUGUACUUGCUGCUUCCUCUGCCUGAAAUGUACUUCUUCAAGAUAUUCACAGCUAAGACUCACCACCUCACUCCCCCAAGGAGGUCGGAGAGAAGCCUGCGGUGACCACUGCACCUGAAACAAAGGUCCUCCAUUCUCUUCUCCCUCCCCUCUAUCACCACAGGAGCAAGGACUUUGCCAGGCACGACAGUAGGUGCUCAAUAAAUAUUAAUUGAAUAUAUGAAUGAGUUAAUUGUAUACCUACUCUGUACCUGCUGGCUAAUGAGGGACAAAGGAGAAAGAGACAAAGUCCCCGUCAGGGGUAAGAUGCUUGGGUUUUAGGGUCAAAAUCUGCGUCCCCUUCAUUUCUGCUUCCUCCCCAGCCUCCCCAGUUCAGGCCCACAUCCUCCUCCUGUCUCUUCCCUUGCACCCCUGGUCCACCAUCCUCUCGCCAGCUCUAGGCCCAUCACCUCUAACGUGGAGGCCUGCGUAACAGCCUCCUGCUGGGCCGCCCUGCCUCCACCCUCAGCCUCUGUCCUGCAGCUUCCCGUCCCCUCUCUCUGCAGGCCCACCCCUCUGCCCUCAGCUCCAGCUGCACGUGCCCGCUUGUGCCCUGGGCGGGAAGCUCUGUCCAGUCUCAGGGAUGCUGUGUUCACGGUUCCCUCUGUGUGACAGGCCUUCCCUGGGGGUCUGCUGGGCAGGCUGUCACCUCUUCAAGGGCCUCCCUUGAGUUCGCCAGCCAGAGUAGCAUCCCACACACGCUUGACCCUGUUACCUUCGUGUUUUCUUCCUUUUUUUUUUUUGUAUAUAUUGUCUCAUUCAUUCCUUUUUUCUUUUUCUUUUUUAAAUUUAUUGAAAUAUAGUUGAUUUACAGUGUUGUGGGCCUUCGUAUUUUCUUGAUCCUUAGCUGACCUUCUCUAUUUGUCCGUUUCCCUCUCUGAAGUACAGCACACAGUCGAGUGCUAGGCCUGUCUCUCUUUCACCCCCGCAUGCCCGGUUCUAAGAGCAGGGACUGGGCCGUAAGGCUUGCGAAUUGAUGGAGCAGCCUCAGAUGCAUUCUGGGCGAAUCACUUCCCCUCCGUGAGCCUUGGUUUUCUGUCAAACGGGGAAACGCAUCCUUUGGGUGUUGCGAGGGUCAUGGGGGCAGUGACUCUGUCAACUGCGCCUGGCGCAGGGUGGGCACUGACCCCUGACCCCAGAGAAGCUUAGCUGAGGCAGGCUCCACUCUGCCACUAGGGAGGCCCCUGCCCCGGGUUUUUCUCCUUUGAGCACUUGGGGUGUGGGUUCUCGGGCCGACACGUGGGGAGACCCAGAGGCAAUAACGGGGAGUCUGCUAGGAGCUGCCUAGUUCACUGGGCAGUUUCAAAGCUGAUGACUAGCUCUGCCUGCCCGAAGCCUGGACUCCUGGUCCCUCCAACUCUCCGUUCUUUGUGGACCCGCCCACUUGCCUCUCCCUGUUCCCUUCCCGUCCCCUCCCCACCUUCUCCCCAGCGCCCUGCCUUCACCCACUGGGUAUUUCUCUUCUCCCAUCGCCCUCCUCAGGUUUCCUGAGUCCAGGCCGGUUCCAUCCCCUCCAGCCAGACCUCCGCCCGCCCUUUGCCCCCUCUGCCUCAAGCUCUAGCCCUGCAUCCCGACCUCUUCCCAGUCGCCUGACUGCAGCAGAGACUUUGUGUAGGCAUUAUAGUGGCCCAGGGGCUUCCCCACCUGCCCUGGGGCUUUGCUUCACAGUGCUUUGCUCUGGGCCAGGUGGGUAGCAGGUGUGAUGUUUAUGCUGCGGGUGAGGGUGUCGCCUCAGGGGGGCCCAGGGCACCAGUUCCCCACCAGGGCAAGGGCGGUGGGGAAGGGGACUGACCGGUUGAAGGGAUGAACGGAUGCAGCAGGGAUGUAGGUGGGCUCAGAGGGUGUCCCUUCUGUAGGGUCUCCCCUUUCUACAGGCAAGUCCAUCCUGGAGAUGGGUGCCCCUCCAGGGCACCAGGACCUGCAGAUUUCCAGGCAGAGUUGGGGAGACUUCUAGCACCUUCUUUGCAGGCGUGGACCCUGGAGUUGUCAGCGCACUUUGAGACACUCCGUCUCUAGGCGAUGGUCCCCGUAACUAGGCACACCCAGGGCAGUUGUAGAGAGCAGACUGACAGCCCGUCCCUUCCCAAAAGGGGCCGGUGCUCUUCCUUAACCAGGGCACCCCGCCUGCCGGAUCAAAGGGUCCAGGAAGCAAAAUUAGACACCAGGAAUUGGUGGUGAGCACGGAAUGAUGACAAGAGAAGUUAAAAGCUGAGGCAGGGCUUUGCCUAGGCUCUGGGAAGCCCAGGAAAUACCCAUCACCCUGUUUAUUAGCUUUGACCUUUACAAGGAAGGCAUGCUGUCACAGGGGCCAGAGGAGUGAGAAGGGAGGGAGGGAUGGUCCCCCACAGGGGCGUGGAGGGCUGGUCAGAGGGGAUCCUCCAGGCCUGAACCAGCAGGGUCUGGGCGUCUGGCCACUUACCACCUCAGUCUGUAGACGUGUUAAAAGCAAAGAAGUGUUGUCAAUUCAAAAAUUGGGAGGUUUGGAACUUCCCUGGUGGUCCAGUGGUUGAGACUCUGCGCUUCCACUGCAGGGGCCACUGGCUCAAUCCGUGGUUGGGGAAUUAAGAUCCCGCAUGCCGCACGGGGUGGCCAAAAAAUUAAAAUAAAAUAAAAUAAAUUGGGAGGUUUUACACUAGAUUCUGGAUUUAUUGGCUUCUCUUGAAACUGAGACAGUUUGGACCCUGAGGGUCCCUUUUCUGCAUGGGAACAGUGGCCACUUUGGGUGACUGCCCUUUGCAUGGACUGUGCUCUGGGGAGCCCCCCAGUUUUACCGUCCCCCCGUUCUGUUCACUCUUCUGUGUUGCCUGCCUGGCCCUCGUAGGAUUUCCCUUUAUAAGCCCAGCUCUGUGUUGUGCUGGUAAAUAACCCAGCCAUGCUUUCAGGGUCUGUUUCCACGCUACCACCACUGCCUUCCUGGCUGGCCCCAGUUUUUGUUCCCCGUAACUCUGCCCCCCCGGCCCCCCAGACCAGUCUUUCCUGCCCAGAUUCCAGACCCUCCUGCUGCAGCCCUCACCCCAAUGGCAAUGAUCUCCCCCUUCUGGGUUCAGGUUUCCCGGAUAAUCUCCUUAGUCGAGGAAAACGAGGCUGCCCGGUGUAAAGGGAAGCAGAUGGUCUGAGCACUGGUGCAGUAUUGACAUGGUUGUCUGGAAAAGUUAUUUACUUUCUAGUAAUUUCAGAGAUACAGAAAACUUGCAGUAACAGUACAAUGUACACUUUAUCUCUAAGCUCAGAUUCCUCAGUCAUCAUUGAUUUUCCACAUCUGCCAAUCUAAAUGAAGACCUCCAGUGCGUUCGACCUCAAACAGAGACACUCUCCCAGUAGACCACCGCCAAAUGAGGAAUUAUUAUGGUUUUCACUUUAUAAUCCCAUCCACAGGCCCUGUUCAACUUUCACCACUUGCCCCAACUAUAUGGAAAUGUGGUUUUCUAUUCUGAUCCAGUUUACUUUUUCUGGAACAGUUCUUGAGACUUUCCCUUAUUUAUAAAACCUUGAUGGAUUUCAAGUACGUAAAUGAAUACGAUCUGGGUGGUCUUUGCUGUAUGGCUUCUUUCUCUUAGGAUGUUUUCAGUGUUCAUUCAUGUUGUAGCAUGUAUCAGUACUUCAUUCAUAUUUGUCAUUGUGAUUAAAUCCAUACAACAUAAUGUUUACCAUUUAAGCCACUUUAAGUAUAUAGUUCUACGACAUUAACCACAUUUACAUCCAUUAAACACCAACUCUCUUCAACCCCUGGGAAUCACAUUCUACUUUCUUUCUUUGAAUUUGACUUAUUUGGAUAUCUCAUACUAGUGGAAUCAUAGCAUGUUUGUACCUUUUUGGUCUGGUUUGUUUCAGUUAACAUAAUGACUUUAAGGUUCAUCCACAUUGUAGCAUACCUUAAGUUUAAAGGCUGAAUCAUAUUCCAUUGUGUAUAUACCACAGCUUGUUUAUGGAAUCAUCUAUCCAUGGACACUUGGAUUCCUUCCAUCUUUGACCAGUAUGAAUAGUACUGGUAUGAAUAUGAGUGUACAAAUAUGUGUUUCAGUCCCUGCUUUCAAACCUUUUGGGUAUACACCCCGAAGUGGAAUUGACAUAUCAUAUGUUAAUUUCACGUUUAAGUUUUUGCUAUAAUAUUUUCCACAGUGGCUGCACCAUUUCACUUUAUUUUUUAUAGAGCAGAAAAAUGGAAGUCUUUGAAUCUACCCUAUUUUUCAUAUCCAUUCAUCCACUGAUGGAAUUUUGUAUGGUUUCUACCUUUUGGGCUAUUGUGAAUAAUGUUGCUAUGAAUAUUUGUGUACCAGUUCUUGUUUGAACACCUG